CUGCAAUAAACUAACCUGACCAGGUUUCUUUCCAGUUAGGGACCUGAUGUGCAAUGGCUACAAACAGCAGCCUUCUUGGGAGGGCCAUGCAGCCUGAUGUUUACAUGGGUUUCCCUAAGGGAGCCUGGAGACAGUU